CCCGCAACGAGCGCAACCCCUCGCAUCCAGUUGCCAUCGGGCGAGCCGGGCACUCUGGAGGGACUGCCGGCGACAAGCCGGAGGAAGUGGGGAUGACGUCAAGUCAUCAUGGCCCUUAUGUCCAGGGCGACACACGUGCUACAAUGGCCGGCACAGCGGGAAGCGGAGGGGCGACCCUGAGCGGAUCCCUUGAAAGCCGGUCCCAGUUCGGAUUGCAGUCUGCAACUCGACUGCAUGAAGUUGGAAUCGCUAGUAAUCGCGGAUCAGCCAAGCCGCGGUGAAUACGUUCCCGGGCCUU
rnacentral:rRNA from 1 species